rnacentral:snoRNA from 1 species
AGCCUUAUUCUACAUAAGAAUGGGCACUGUUGAUCAUGGUGUCCAAAAAUUGUUAAUGUGGCUAACCUGAGACAUAGAUUAUGCUUCCAUCAUGGUAUAUAUAUAUAUAUAUUGCAGUGGUGACAAUGAGACCUGUAACAUUU